rnacentral:rRNA from 1 species
AUGAGGGCAAGCAUUGCAACACAACACAUGUUUCAGAAACAUGGCUCCAGUUGCAUAAAUCGCCAGGAAGUGCAUGCCCGGUCUGAGAGCUCGUCGUCGUCGUGCUGGAGUAGAGACAGCAGCUCAGCGUGCUGGGUUGGAGGAGUCGCGGCAACUCCGGCAGGCGGCGGCACUCCAUGGCCUCGCUCAGGCCAUGGCGGGGCAGCGGUGCUAUCUCGGUGGACCUUUGCAACAAGGUCCUUGUUGCAAAGCCCCGGAUCACAACAAACUAACUGUUGCAAAGACUCAUCUCACUAUAUAAACACUAGCAAAAAGGACGAAGCUGCAAGAAAGCAGGAGCAGAAAAAUAGCCAGCUGUGGAGUGAGGCCGCCAUCAGUAAGCAGUUUGUGGGAGCACACGACGGCGGCCGUGUCAUCACACCUGAGAAUAACUUUCAGCUUGCGAUGGUGAACCUCUUCUUCAGUGUUGAGGUGCCGCUCAUUGCAAAUGAACAUGAGGACUCUCUGCUUAGGCAGCUGGCACUACAUAAUUCUGAAGGUUGUCCUCCCAACUCAAGUGGCCGCAUCUUUGCCGCUGUCAUUCCCAAAUAUGGGGCCGCCCUUUGCAAGAUUGGUUGGUCAGACAAUGGAUGGAUGUUGUAUGGCAUCACCCUCUUAGAGGACAUGAUCCAAUUGGAGAUAGGUGUGAACAAUGGCAAACCGCACCGUCUGUUGAUACGAAUGUGUAUCCACUAUACAAUAUACCAGAACAAUAUCAUUGAGCUUCCCGGUGAACUGAUGGUAGAGUACGCUCAUAAUUGGAAGGAGGUAACAAACUUGGGUGACUAUGCCUUGUUAUUAGGGAAAACAUGGGCCAAGAUGUUGAAUGUGCCGAUAGCUAGGCGUGGCAUGAUGCACAGUAGCUACAUCUACACCGAUGAUUCGGUCUACUUAAUGAGUUUGAGUGACCAUGUGUAUAAGGCAUUAAGGUCAUCUUUUACUAUAAAUAGAAAAAGGUUUAUAAACAACUGGAUGAUCCCAUGCAAUUACUGCUACCUCUCCCAACAAUCACACUGCAAGCUCCCUGUCGCUGACCACCACCGCCGUUGCCACACAGCCCACCCCAAAAUUAACCAUGCUGCUCUUGCAGGGAUGGCGACGUUUUUCUGUGAAAGCAACAUCCAUGGAGAUCAGACAGCUAGGCGAGCGCUGUGUGCUGCAGUGGGGCAUCCGAGCAUGGCCGCCGGCGCUGCAAUAGAGCAUUACAUGCGCUGCCGGUGCUGUGUUGCAACAUUGCUAGCCCUGCGGCGACGACCGCUGCCUCGAAGCUAUUACCGCACCGUCGUCACUGCUAUGGAGCUUCAUCGAUGCUACAACAACGACCGCAACGGGACAUCCAUGGCGCUGCAACUCCGGCGUUACAAUGGAGCUUCGUCGGCGCUGCAAUGGAGCUCCGUCGGGCUGCCUUGGAGCUUUUGCCGCACCGCUGACAAUUUAAUGGAGCUUCGCCGUUCUUCUCGUCGGUUCAUCUGUCUAAUCGUCUUCCCCCUCUCGUCUGCCGCCGCUGGCUAUCGUCGCUGCGCGCGCCGCGGCCGCACGGCAGUCCGGCAGCCUGGCCAUCCGGCAUCCGGGAAGGCCGCAAGUACGCUACUUGGCCGACUGCAAGUCUGCAACGCCGUGAGCACACCACAGAAUCAUGCAUAUUCGAGUAUUAUUCAACUACUCAUCCAUGUACGUCUAGGAUUCCAAUCGUCUGAUAUUUUAAUUGAGAAGGGACCUAUUAGACUACCAGAUCUGGAGUUCAAGAAGGACGCCAUUGUCAGUCGAAAAUUUUGGUUCUUACUUAAGAACACAAGGGCAUUGUGCUUGCUUGCUCUUAUUGUCAUUUCCAGCACUUUCUUGUCUUGCCAUGCAGAAGGUACAAUGGACCUUGGACCUAUUCUUGGGUGUGUAAAGAUGAAAAAAGCUUGCUCAGUUAAUGGGUGCUUGUGGCAAUGUGCCUCUCAUGGUUGGAAUCCCCAGAGAUGCAUUUGUACCGAUGUUGGCCAUUGUUGUCACUACGCGGAGGCAAUGACACCAAAUUGA